AGUGAACGCUGGCGGUAGGCCUAACACAUGCAAGUCGAACGGCAGCACAGUAAGAGCUUGCUCUUACGGGUGGCGAGUGGCGGACGGGUGAGGAAUACAUCGGAAUCUACUUUUUCGUGGGGGAUAACGUAGGGAAACUUACGCUAAUACCGCAUACGACCUACGGGUGAAAGCAGGGGAUCUUCGGACCUUGCGCGAUUGAAUGAGCCGAUGUCGGAUUAGCUAGUUGGCGGGGUAAAGGCCCACCAAGGCGACGAUCCGUAGCUGGUCUGAGAGGAUGAGAAGCGCCACAGUAAAACAGACACGGUCCAGACUCCUACGGGAGGCAGCAGUGGGGAAUAUUGGACAAUGGGCGCAAGCCUGAUCCAGCCAUACCGCGUGGGUGAAGAAGGCCUUCGGGUUGUAAAGCCCUUUUGUUGGGAAAGAAAAGCAGCAGGUUAAUACCCCGCUGUUCUGACGGUACCCAAAGAAUAAGCACCGGCUAACUUCGUG
rnacentral:rRNA from 1 species